rnacentral:rRNA from 1 species
AGUGAAUAGAUACCCGGGUAGUCCUAGCCGUAAACGAUACUCGCUAGGUGUCGGCCACGGUGCGACCGUUGUCGGUGCCGUAGGGAAAGCCGUGAAGCGAGCCACCUGGGAAGUACGGCCGCAAGGCUGAAACUUAAAGGAAUUGGCGGGGGAGCACCACAACGGGUGGAGCUUGCGGUUUAAUUGGAUUCAACGCCGGAAAUCUUACCGGGACCGACAGCAACAUGAAGGCCAGGCUGAAGACUUUGCCGGAUUAGCUGAGAGGUGGUGCAUGGCCGUCGUCAGUUCGUACUGUGAAAGCAUCCUGUUAAGUCAGGCGACGAGCGAGACCCACGCCCACAGUUGCCAGCGUACUCUCCGGAGUGACGGGUACACUGUGGGGACCGCCGCUGCUAAAGCGGAGGAAGGAAUGGGCAACGGUAGGUCAGUAUGCCCCGAAUAUCCCGGGCUACACGCGAGCUACAAUGGUUGGUACAAUGGGUAUCUACCCCGAAAGGGGAUGGAAAUCUCCUAAAGCCAACCUUAGUUCGGAUUGAGGGCUGCAACUCGCCCUC